AGAGUUUGAUCCUGGCUCAGGAUGAACGCUGACAGAAUGCUUAACACAUGCAAGUCUACUUGAUCCUUCGGGUGAAGGUGGCGGACGGGUGAGUAACGCGUAAAGAACUUGCCUUACAGACUGGGACAACAUUUGGAAACGAAUGCUAAUACCGGAUAUUAUGACUGAGUCGCAUGAUUUGGUUAUGAAAGCUAUAUGCGCUGUGAGAGAGCUUUGCGUCCCAUUAGUUAGUUGGUGAGGUAACGGCUCACCAAGACGAUGAUGGGUAGCCGGCCUGAGAGGGUGAACGGCCACAAGGGGACUGAGACACGGCCCUUACUCCUACGGGAGGCAGCAGUGGGGAAUAUUGGACAAUGGACCGAGAGUCUGAUCCAGCAAUUCUGUGUGCACGAUGAAGUUUUUCGGAAUGUAAAGUGCUUUCAGUUGGGAAGAAGUCAGUGACGGUACCAACAGAAGAAGCGACGGCUAAAUACGUGCCAGCAGCCGCGGUAAUACGUAUGUCGCAAGCGUUAUCCGGAUUUAUUGGGCGUAAAGCGCGUCUAGGCGGUUUAGUAAGUCUGAUGUGAAAAUGCGGGGCUCAACCCCGUAUUGCGUUGGAAACUGCUAAACUAGAGUACUGGAGAGGUAGGCGGAACUACAAGUGUAGAGGUGAAAUUCGUAGAUAUUUGUAGGAAUGCCGAUGGGGAAGCCAGCUUACUGGACAGAUACUGACGCUAAAGCGCGAAAGCGUGGGUAGCAAACAGGAUUAGAUACCCUGGUAGUCCACGCCGUAAACG
rnacentral:rRNA from 1 species